CGGAGGCGGCGGAGGCUACCGUGGAUCCUCUGGUGGUGGAGGCGGCGGAGGCUACGGUGGAUCCUCUGGUGGUGGAGGCAGCGGUGGCAGUAUGUAUGGUGGAGGCGGCGGUGGCAAUAUGUAUGGAAAGUAAAUAUUUCUACUAUUCCACUGACGUACUCUUCUCUAACUUCCUACCUCUGGUAUUAACAGUGUGGACAUCGUCCUUCAUCGUAUUGUCAUCUACAUGUAUCAGCCAGAUGACGCAACACAUCAUCUCUUCAGUUCAUCAUUCUAUUACAUUAAACUAAUGUGAUGUUAGUUAAUUUACUGCACAUUAUAAUCUAUGUAAUUUACUGUUUCUGUUACAAAAGUUUGUCUUAUUUUUUCUAUAAACGUGUGUACGAUUAUGUUGAGAAGUAAACUGUUAACUGAAA